UUAACCCUAUCUACAACAAUUGUAAAGGAGGUAGUCAUCAUCUCCGGGGAAGGAGAUAGAGAAGGCGAUGUGAUUCUGUGUGGCUGCUGCUUCUGUCAUAAGUUCCAUUCGGUGUUCUCCCUCUACCAAAGCAUCUCUACAAUUUUUCAGUCUUGAACGGCUGCAAUUAAAGAAGAUGGUAAAACCGGUGCUGAGGUAGGAUUGGAUUUCGGUUGCGGUUGUAAGGCUUGUGUCUAUGAGACACCAAAUUGCUGAUGGAUUUCACUUCUUGUUAUUUCGAUUAUUUUUGUUGAUGUAAAUAUUUAUAAAAUGUGUAGUAAGUAAAAGUGUAACCUGUGGUUGUUUUCAGACAUGGAGAUUGUAUAAUAUAAUUUAUCAUCUAGA